AAGUCGUAACAAGGUUCCGUAGGUGAACCUGCGGAAGGAUCAUUACCGAGUUAGGGUCGCCCCGCGCGCCCGACCUCCAACCCUUUGUCUACCUGACCUUAUGUUUUUACAGUAUCUUCUGAGUGUGCCGCAAGGCAAAAACAAAUGAAUCAAAACUUUCAACAACGGAUCUCUUGGUUCUGGCAUCGAUGAAGAACGCAGCGAAAUGCGAUAAGUAAUGUGAAUUGCAGAAUUCAGUGAAUCAUCGAAUCUUUGAACGCACAUUGCGCCCGCCAGAAUUCUGGCGGGCAUGCCUGUUCGAGCGUCAUUUCAACCCUCGGUCUCCCUCCGGGAGAGACCGGCGUUGGGGACCGGCACUUACCCCGCCGGCCCCGAAAUGAAGUGGCGGCCGUCCGCGGCGACCUCUGCGUAGUAACUCCACUCGCACCGGGACCCGGCGCGGCCACGCCGUAAAACCCCCAACUUCCGAAUGUUGACCUCGAAUCAGGUAGGAAUACCCGCUGAACUUAA
rnacentral:rRNA from 1 species